rnacentral:rRNA from 1 species
UACGAAGGGGGCUAGCGUUGUUCGGAAUCACUGGGCGUAAAGCGCACGUAGGCGGAUUGUUAAGUCGGGGGUGAAAUCCUGGAGCUCAACUCCAGAGCUGCCUUCGAAACUGGCGAUCUUGAGUCCGGGAGAGGUGAGUGGAACUGCGAGUGUAGAGGUGAAAUUCGUAGAUAUUCGCAAGAACACCAGUGGCGAAGGCGGCUCACUGGCCCGGUACUGACGCUGAGGUGCGAAAGCGUGGGGAGCAAACAGG